ACUAUGACCAACGUUUAACCCCCAUUGACGGGGUCCACAGAAUACCAGCGCACAACCCCCACUGGCAGGGUCCACAAAUACCAGCGCACAACCCCCACUGGCAGGGUCCACAAACACCAGUGCACAACCUCCACUGGCAGGGUCCACUGAGUACCAACGUAUAAUUUCCAUUGGCGGGGCCCACUGAAACAUAGUUAGGCUGAGAGCAUAAAUUCGAUCUGUAUCAAAAUACUUUGUAUCAUAAUAUAUCAUAAUUUUUCACUGAUCAUGUGC
rnacentral:lncRNA from 1 species